rnacentral:rRNA from 1 species
CAGUCGCCGCGGUAAUACGUAGGGUGCAAGCGUUAAUCGGAAUUAUUGGGCGUAAAGGGCUCGCAGGCGGUUUCUUAAGUCUGAUGUGAAAGCCCCCGGCUCAACCGGGGAGGGUCAUUGGAAACUGGGAAACUUGAGUGCAGAAGAGGAGAGUGGAAUUCCACGUGUAGCGGUGAAAUGCGUAGAGAUGUGGAGGAACACCAGUGGCGAAGGCGACUCUCUGGUCUGUAACUGACGCUGAGGAGCGAAAGCGUGGGGAGCGAACAGGAUUAGAUACCCCAGUAGUCCCUGUCUCUUAUAC